rnacentral:rRNA from 1 species
CGCGAAGAACUUACCAGGUCUUGACAUCCUUUGACAAUCCUAGAGAUAGGACUUUCCCUUCGGGGACAAAGUGACAGGUGGUGCAUGGGUUGUCGUCANCUCGUGUCGUGAGAUGUUGGGUUAAGUCCCGCAACGAGCGCAACCCCUAUUGUUAGUUGCCAGCAUUCAGUUGGGCACUCUAAUGAGACUGCCGGUGACAAACCGGAGGAAGGUGGGGAUGACGUCAAAUCAUCAUGCCCCUUAUGACCUGGGCUACACACGUGCUACAAUGGAUGGUACAACGAGCAGCAAGACCGCGAGGUCAAGCGAAUCUCUUAAAGCCAUUCUCAGUUCGGAUUGCAGGCUGCAACUCGCCUGCAUGAAGCCGGAAUCGCUAGUAAUCGCGGAUCAGCACGCCGCGGUGAAUACGUUCCC